rnacentral:rRNA from 1 species
GACGAACGCUGGCGGCGUGCUUAACACAUGCAAGUCGAACGGAAAGGCCCUGCUUUUGUGGGGUGCUCGAGUGGCGAACGGGUGAGUAACACGUGAGUAACCUGCCCUUGACUUUGGGAUAACUUCAGGAAACUGGGGCUAAUACCGGAUAGGAUCUCCUGCUGCAUGGUGGGGGUUGGAAAGUUUCGGCGGUUGGGGAUGGACUCGCGGCUUAUCAGCUUGUUGGUGGGGUAGUGGCUUACCAAGGCUUUGACGGGUAGCCGGCCUGAGAGGGGGAACGGCCACAUUGGGACUAAGAGACGGCCCAGACUCCUACGGGAGGCAGCAGUGGGGAAUAUUGCACAAUGGGCGGAAGCCUGAUGCAGCAACGCCGCGUGCGGGAUGACGGCCUUCGGGUUGUAAACCGCUUUCGCCUGUGACGAAGCGUGAGUGACGGUAAUGGGUAAAGAAGCACCGGCUAACUACGUG